UACGUAGGGGGCAAGCGUUGUCCGGAUUUAUUGGGCGUAAAGAGCGUGUAGGCGGCCAUGCAGGUCCGUUGUGAAAACUCGAGGCUUAACCUCGAGCUGUCGGCGGAAACCAUUUGGCUAGAGUCCGGAAGAGGAGAAUGGAAUUCCCGGUGUAGCGGUGAAAUGCGCAGAUAUCGGGAAGAACACCCGUGGCGAAGGCGGUUCUCUGGGACGGUACUGACGCUGAGACGCGAAAGCGUGGGGAGCGAACAGG
rnacentral:rRNA from 1 species